rnacentral:rRNA from 1 species
UGGAUCCAGACUUUGAUUCUGGCUCAGGAUGAACGCUGGCGGCGUGCCUAAUACAUGCAAGUCGAACGAAACUUCUUUAUCACCGAGUGCUUGCACUCACCGAUAAAGAGUUGAGUGGCGAACGGGUGAGUAACACGUGGGCAACCUGCCCAAAAGAGGGGGAUAACACUUGGAAACAGGUGCUAAUACCGCAUAACCAUAGUUACCGCAUGGCAACUAUGUAAAAGGUGGCUAUGCUACCGCUUUUGGAUGGGCCCGCGGCGCAUUAGCUAGUUGGUGGGGUAAAGGCUUACCAAGGCAAUGAUGCGUAGCCGAACUGAGAGGUUGAUCGGCCACAUUGGGACUGAGACACGGCCCAAACUCCUACGGGGGGCAGCAGUAGGGAAUCUUCCACAAUGGGCGAAAGCCUGAUGGAGCAACGCCGCGUGGGUGAAGAAGGUCUUCGGAUCGUAAAACCCUGUUGUUAGAGAAGAAAGUGCGUGAGAGUAACUGUUCACGUUUCGACGGUAUCUAACCAGAAAGCCACGGCUAACUACGUGCCAGCAGCCGCGGUAAUACGUAGGUGGCAAGCGUUAUCCGGAUUUAUUGGGCGUAAAGGGAACGCAGGCGGUCUUGUAAGUCUGAUGUGAAAGCCUUCGGCUUAACCGGAGUAGUGCAUUGGAAACUGGGAGACUUGAGUGCAGAAGAGGAGAGUGGAACUCCAUGUGUAGCGGUGAAAUGCGUAGAUAUAUGGAAGAACACCAGUGGCGAAAGCGGCUCUCUGGUCUGUAACUGACGCUGAGGUUCGAAAGCGUGGGUAGCAAACAGGAUUAGAUACCCUGGUAGUCCACGCCGUAAACGAUGAAUGCUAAGUGUUGGAGGGUUUCCGCCCUUCAGUGCCGCAGCUAACGCAAUAAGCAUUCCGCCUGGGGAGUACGACCGCAAGGUUGCAACUCAAAUGAAUUGACGGA